ensembl:ncRNA T02E9.29 ncRNA
CUCAUCAAGAACCCAAGCGCUAAUUGGAGCGCUUAUCUUGUCUCCAAACGAAAAGGACGUCAUCCGGUAGUGCAGCUUGUGAUGCGGUGCUCUUACAGAAGCCGUGUGCUAGCUCUUUUCCUCU